GGUCUAAUACCGAAUAGGACCGCGCGCUUCAUGGUGUGUGGUGGAAAGCUUUUGCGGUGUGGGAUGGGCCCGCGGCCUAUCAGCUUGUUGGUGGGGUAAUGGCCUACCAAGGCGACGACGGGUAGCCGGCCUGAGAGGGUGACCGGCCACACUGGGACUGAGAUACGGCCCAGACUCCUACGGGAGGCAGCAGUGGGGAAUAUUGCACAAUGGGCGCAAGCCUGAUGCAGCGACGCCGCGUGAGGGAUGACGGCCUUCGGGUUGUAAACCUCUUUCACCAGGGACGAAGCGCAAGUGACGGUACCUGGAGAAGAAGCACCGGCCAACUACGUGCCAGCAGCCGCGGUAAUACGUAGGGUGCGAGCGUUGUCCGGAAUUACUGGGCGUAAAGAGCUCGUAGGUGGUUUGUCGCGUUGUUCGUGAAAACUCACAGCUUAACUGUGGGCGUGCGGGCGAUACGGGCAGACUAGAGUACUGCAGGGGAGACUGGAAUUCCUGGUGUAGCGGUGGAAUGCGCAGAUAUCAGGAGGAACACCGGUGGCGAAGGCGGGUCUCUGGGCAGUAACUGACGCUGAGGAGCGAAAGCGUGGGGA
rnacentral:rRNA from 1 species